rnacentral:rRNA from 1 species
UCCUACGGGGGGCAGCAGUGGGGAAUAUUGGACAAUGGGGGGAACCCUGAUCCAGCGACGCCGCGUGAGUGAAGAAGUAUUUCGGUAUGUAAAGCUCUAUCAGCAGGGAAGAAAGAAAUGACGGUACCUGACUAAGAAGCCCCGGCUAACUACGUGCCAGCAGCCGCGGUAAUACGUAGGGGGCAAGCGUUAUCCGGAUUUACUGGGUGUAAAGGGUGCGUAGGUGGCAGGGCAAGUCAGAUGUGAAAGCCCGGGGCCCAACCCCGGUACUGCAUUUGAAACUAUCCGGCUGGAGUGCAGGAGAG